rnacentral:lncRNA from 10 species
UCCUUCUUCCCAGGCAAGUUAAUGGCUCCCAUCGCCCCUUUCCGUGAUUCUUACAUAUUGUACCAUAUCUUGUAACAUACUUGACUUCUCUCUUGAACAGGGGACUCCUGCAGGCCAGCAGCAGGGACGGACUCACCUCCCUGUGCCCUCUCCCAGCAGAUGACCUCAGCCCUCACAGUUGAAGAAGUUGGCCUGCAGGCAUGCGGAGGGAGUGCCCGCUGGAACCCAGGGCCAGGACAGGGCCUGUGCAGAGGAGUCCACCUUCAGCAAGACGGACCACCAAUACUCUGCGACUUAGAGAAGGAGACUGAGGAAUAAAUGCCCAGACCGUACUCCGCUCCUGCCCUCCUGGUUUCCUGCCAGAGUCUCCCCUUGUCUGAAGCCAACCUGAAGACACCCCUUGAGGACCCCUUCACUGUACUGGGACCAUGGGGGGCUGAGCCUCUGGGAUCAGUCACCUCCCUAACCUCCUGCAUGAGGAACAACUUGACGAACACACAUUUCAACCUGUAACAGGGUGGACAAGCAGAACCCUUCUUCAGAAGCACAUUUAUGAAGUUCCCGCAGUAACUGGCUCAGAGAGAAAUGCUGCUGUAACAGCUGAGAGAAAACU